GCAGAGUUGGCCGAGUGGUUAAGGCGCUGCACUCAAGUAGGACUUCCCGGAACUACUCGGGUGAAUUGCAGUCCCGCAUGGGUCGUGGGUUCGAAUCCCACACUCUGCA